rfam:Rhizoctonia solani AG-1 IA unplaced genomic scaffold scaffold41, whole genome shotgun sequence.
GCCUGGCUAGCUCAAUCGGUAGAGCGUGAGACUCUUAAUUGAUGUCAUCUCAAGGUUGUGGGUUCGACCCCCACGUUAGGCU